AUUGAACGCUGGCGGCAGGCCUACCACAUGCAAGUCGAACGAGUGGCGGACGGGUGAGUAAUGUCUGGGAAUCUGCCUGAUGGAGGGCGAUAACUACUGGAAACGGUAGCUCAUAACGCAUACCAUCGGAUGUGCCCAUAUGGGAUUCGCUAGUAGGUGGGGUAACGGCUCACCUAGGCGACGAGCCCUAGCUGGUCUGAGAGGAUGAACAGCCAGACUGGGACUGAGACACGGUCCAGAGUCCUACGGGAGGCAGAAGUGGGGAAUAUGGAACAAUGGGCGCAAGCCUGAUGCAGCCAUGGCGGGUGUAUGAAGAAGGCCUUAGGGUUGUAAAGUACUUUCAGCGAGGAGGCGUUACUCGCAGAAGAAGCACCGGCUAACUCCGUGCCAGCCGCCGCGGUAAUAC
rnacentral:rRNA from 1 species